GCCCGGAUGGCGGAAUUGGCAGACGCAGGGGGCUUAAACCCCCCGGCCUUUCGGGGCUUGUGGGUUCAAAUCCCACUCCGGGCACCA
rnacentral:tRNA from 1 species